ACUCCUACGGGAGGCAGCAGUGGGGAAUAUUGCACAAUGGGGGAAACCCUGAUGCAGCCAUGCCGCGUGUGUGAAGAAGGCCUUCGGGUUGUAAAGCACUUUCAGUAGGGAGGAAGGUAGUGUAGUUAACACCUGCACUAUUUGACGUUACCUACAGAAGAAGCACCGGCUAACUCCGUGCCAGCAGCCGCGGUAAUACGGAGGGUGCGAGCGUUAAAUCGGAAUUACUGGGCGUAAAGCGCAUGCAGGCGGCCUGUAAGUCAGAUGUGAAAGCCCGGGGCUUAACCUCGGAAUUGCAUUUGAAACUGGCAGGCUAGAGUCUUGUAGAGGGGGGUAGAAUUUCAGGUGUAAGCGGUGAAAUGCG
rnacentral:rRNA from 1 species